GCCAGAAAAGAGGUCAAUCGGUAUCUAUUGACCAUUUUUUAAAGUUCACAGUAAAGUGGAAAGGUCAAACUACCACCAAGGUCAUAAAACUACCCCUGGUAACGCCCACAACGCCCAUGAAAGCCUUGUCAAAUACGUAUUCGCACAUCACCUAUUUCUUAAGGCCUAAUAACAUCUUUUUCCUUAUUUUCCCUCCAUGAAUCAUAGUAAUAACAUCAAUAAUAAUUAAAAAAUAAUUAUAACUUUGUUUAUAGUAAUCCCGUGGACUCGGCGUACAAAACCAUCGGCGGCUCAGUCCCCAUCAGUUCCCGCGCGGCGUCCCUGGUGGUGAUCGCGUGACCCGUGAUAUUAAAUCCUUUUUAUCGUUUUCCGACAAAUUACGCGGUGCCAGCGAACCACAGUGCCAGGGAAGAAAGAAGAGGCGAAUUACGUGUUCCCGGAAUGUUGUGGUGCCAUAGAAAGGAAGAAGUGGUGCCAGUGGUUAUACUGUGCCAUUUCUAACCCCCUGGAAGGCUGAAAUAAGAUUGAAAUAAGAUAAAAAAUAAGGGAAAAGUGAAAAUGGCGGGGUGUCAUGUCUGACACCCCUCUUCAGCACCAUAUAUAUAUUUUUUCUCAUUUUUAAAGUAAAUUGCGUUUCCUCAAAGUGCCGCAGUGCCAUGCAAAGAAAGAGGAGGUGGCAUAGAUCAUACAGUGCCAAUCUUAACGCGUGGGAAUGCUAAAAUAAGGUUGAAAAAAGAGAAAAGCGGAGGGUGGAGGGCAAGACAGCGGGGAAGUCGUGUGUUGAAAAGGAAAAUUAACGAAAAAAAAAUAGAAAAUUAUAGCAAGGAAAAGACAAGGGGAAGAGCGUGUGGAAAUGCUUAGAAAAUAAUGAAGUAAGAUUCGUGUGAAAAUUAGUGAGAAAUAGCCUAGAAAAUAAUAGUAAGGUAAAGUCAUGUGAAAAUUAGUUAGAAAAUGCUUAGAAAUAAUGGAAAGGAAAAAUAAGGUCCAAAAUAUAAAGUGAUACUCAAAUAAUGAGAAAAAGCUUGGAUAUUAAUAAUAAGGAAACAUUAGUUAAAAAUAAUGUGAAAGUAAGAAAAUGCCUAGAAAAUUCGAAAAAAAUAAAAUAAGGUAAAAUAAUGUGAAAGUGUUAGGAAAUCCUUAGAAAAUUAUAAUAAAUUAAAUUAAGGAAACAUUAGUUAAAAAUAAUGUGAAAGUAAGAAAAUGCCUAGAAAAUUAGAAAAAAGUAAAAGGUAAAAUAAUGUGAAAGUAUGUUAGGAAAUCCUUAGAAAAUUAUAAUAAAUUAAAUUAAGGCAAAAUGUGAAAAUUUGUUUCGAAAUGCUUAGAAAAUUAAAAUAAGGAAAAAUGAGGUAAAAUAAUGUGCAAAUAAGUUAGAAACAUCUUAGAAAAUAAUAAUUAUAACAAUAAUAAUGAUGAUGAUGAAAAUAAUAAUAAUAGAUAAUGGUGAUAGUGAAAGUGUCUGUGCAUGUGUGUGCGCGUGCGGUUAUAUCGUU